GUGGUUGUUGUUGGUAAUAAGGUGGUGGUGGUUGUUGUUGGUAAAAUGGUGGUGGUGGUUGUUGUUGGUAAUAAGGUGGUGGUUGUUGUUGUUGGGAAUAUUGUGGUGGUUGUUGUUGUUGGAAUAUUAUUUAAAAUAAAUAAUCAGGUUGUUUAAAAUAAAUAAUUAAGCUUAAAUAAGAUUGAAUAUUAUUACAUGUCAAAAUUAUA
rnacentral:lncRNA from 1 species